AUACGGAGGGUGCAAGCGUUGUUCGGAAUUAUUGGGCGUAAAGCGCGCGCAGGCGGCUUGCCAAGUCUGAUGUGAAAGCCCGGGGCUCAACCUCGGAACUGCAUUGGAAACUGGUAGGCUUGAGUAUGCGAGGGGUUUGUGGAAUUCCUGGUGUAGGGGUGAAAUCCGUAGAUAUCAGGAGGAACACCGGUGGCGAAGGUGACAAACUGGAUCAUUACUGACGCUGAGGUGCGAAAGCGUGGGGAGCAAACAGAAUUAGAAACCCGAGUAGUCC
rnacentral:rRNA from 1 species